rnacentral:misc_RNA from 1 species
GUGAAUCAUCGAAUUUUUGAACGCAAAUUGCACUCUCCGCGAAGCGUAUGCGUAUUUGAGUUUCAGCCUAUGUAAAAUCGACAUCCUUGCUGUUUCUCGGUGGCGUUCCUCCGGAAUUGGGUCAUCUUUGAUCCUUUUAAUUGUUAAGCGACUUAAAAUUUGAUUUUUGGUUCAAUGCACGUUUCUAAGAUUUAUUUCUUUACACGGUUCAGAUAUCCAUUU